CUGGUGAAAGAACAACACAAACUUAGUACUUCAAUAUUACUAAAAUACAGAAAUAACCUCUUAGCCAUAACUUUCAAUAGAUUUAUAGUCGUCUCCUAAACAGAUCAUUGUUAGUUAAGUAAAAUAUUCAGUACUUUGUUGGAUUCGCGUUUGUAGCUCAAAUAUUUUUAUUACGUAACAAUACACACACCACUAAUAAUAUUUUAUGCUACUUUUAUCAUGAACACAUGAAUGAUCUUGGAUAUCUAUAAAUAUCUUGUAUUUGUGUGGUUCAGUUGAGAAAUAAAAAUAUUUUCCGUUAAAAAUGUUCGUCUAGUUUAUAUAACAGAAAUAGAUGAACCCGUCUCACAAAUGUUACUAUUUAGUUCUCAGCACUUAUCUAAAAUUAUACCUCUUCGUUUCUAUAUGAUUAAAAGUGAC